rnacentral:rRNA from 1 species
UACGUAGGGUGCGAGCGUUAAUCGGAAUUACUGGGCGUAAAGUGUGCGCAGGCGGCCGAGCAAGUCGAGUGUGAAAGCCCCGAGCUUAACCCGGAAAGGUCAAUCGAUACUGCAGGGCUAGAGUGCGGAAGGGGCAACUGGAAUUCUUGGUGUAGCGGUGAAAUGCGUAGAUAUCGGGAGGAACACCAGUGGCGAAGGCGACUUCCUGGCCUGUUCUUGACGCUGAGGCGCGAAAGCUAGGGGAGCAAACGGG